GUCAAGGGCACCUGCGUCAUCGAGCCCAGGCCCCAAAUCCUGGUGCCUCUCCUGACUCUUCUGUUUGGCGCCUUGCUUUGGGCCAUGGGCGGUAGACCAAGCUCAGCCAUGUCUGCUGCUGCCCCUGCUCCAACCUGCUGGGAGCCCCCACCAUCUCCCGUUACUGCAGCUACAGCCUCCAGCCUGGCCCUCCUGCUUCCCUGCCCCCAUCUGUUCUCCACAGAGCAGUCAUGGGCAUCAAGCGAGAACAAUCAACCGGAGCAGACCCCCAAACGCUCCAGAGAACGCUGCUCCCACUGCAUUUAGAGCCAAAGCCACCAAUGCUGCCCCGUCCACCCCUUGCUCCUGUGACUGGCGGGCCCCUUCACUCUGCACCCACCAUGCAGCCAGCCUUUCCCUUUGCGUUCUCCUGUCCUCCUACUUGCUAGCAAAAUGCACAGGCCUCUGUGCUGCUGCCUUUCCUCGGACUGCCAGACCCUUCUCUUGUAGGCCUCAGCCAAGGGAGCUUUUCCCGACAGAGACCCUCUCCUCUCCCCUCCUGGCUCAUUCGCUUCUGGUGCGUGUGCCUGUCACUCACACAGUCCUUAGCUACCGCCUCACCCUUCACCACAUCGGGAGCUCCAGGAUUCUGGUGGAUGUAGUCUGCUGCUGCAUCCUGGGGUCUGGCACAGAGCAGGUGUCCACAUGUGCUUGUCUGCAGCCAUGGCCCCUCAGUUCAGCCUCUGAAAAAGAAAUUCUUGGCCGACUCUGCCUUCCUUUCCUGCCAGCUGGGCCCACUCAAGAGUCACUGUUCCGCAAGGCUGAACUCUGAGUCCUUCCGGAGCCCCACCCGGCCAGAGGUGCUGCAUCCCAAGCUGAACCCACAACAAGGUUGUGCACCCUCAGUGCAGGCCUCAGCGGCGGUUGGGAUGUUCCAGUUUGGGGCUUUGGUAGUCAGACACCAUCCCAAAGCCCAUGGAAAAAUGCCGUGCUACCAGGGGACAGGAAAGCCCCUUCCAAGGGCCUGGACCUUCUCAGAAGCUGCUCCCCAGGCCUGCAUGAAGGCCUGCCCCAGGGAGUGGUGCACUAUGGGUGAGGACGCUCCCGGGAGCCUGCCCAGCGUGCCCCAGAUGUCUGCUCAGGACAGUGACUUAAGACGCCAAGUUUGCCACUCCUGGAGCUGGGGAACCAGUGCGGCCCCUGGAUGCUUUGCAGGAGGCUGCCCAGAGCUGCACACUGGUUACCACACAAGCUGCCCUGGGCCUGAGGGAGGGCUCACUAGAGACGAAAUGCAGACUGCGAUGCAGCUACAUAGGGCCAGCCCAACCAG
rnacentral:lncRNA from 1 species